GAAAUGCGAUAAGUAAUGUGAAUUGCAGAAUUCAGUGAAUCACCGGCAAACAUCCAAAUCCAAACCCAAGUUUUGGAUUUCGGUCCAUGCUUGGGUUUGGAUUUGGAUGUUUGCCGGUGAUGAACCGACUCAUCUUAAAAGUAUUAGCUGGAUCUGUCUAUAUGACUGGUUUGACUUGGCAUAAUAAGUAUUUUGCUGAGGACAUCUUCGGAUGGCCAGUACCUAGACUACUGUCUGCUAACUAAACCAUCACUUUAAGUGCAUCUUUGGAUGUUACUCAUUGUGUAACUUUGACAUCUGGCCUCAAAUCAAGUAGGACUACCCGCUGAACUUAA
rnacentral:misc_RNA from 1 species